ACCCCUCCUAAAUCCUAAUUCCCAAAUCCAUUCCCUGGAAUCCCUGCGACCCUGUCCUCCAGUCUCCGAACACCGGCGCUUCCUCCCCACCGCCGCGAUCUGCCACACUUUUUCAACUGCUUCGCCGGACCACCUCCCCCCUUUUUCCGCCGAGAUAUGCCCCUCUCAUCUCCACACCGGCCCCACAUUUCCCUUCACCGAUCUGCGAUCUGCCUUCCACCAUCGCCGCUUCCUUUCCCCACAGCGAUCUACACCCUCGCAUCUCUAUAUCGGUUCUCCGCGCCGACCAUCAGAUAUGCCACCUCCAUUUCCUUCCUCCAGCGAUUCGCCCCAUCGGCCCCAGCCCGUCACCAAGCCACGACCAUGGUAAGGUUUUUUUUGUAAGUUUUCUUUUUCCCCUCUCCCCGCGCCCCUAGAUCCCCAAAUCCUCACCGCCUCAUUGCGACUUCCGGCGACCACGGUAGCCAUGGCCGCCGAUCUGCCCCUCCCACCACCAGAAAACCAGAAAUCGAUCUGCCACCUCCCUUCCCCCAUAUGGUAAGUAUUAAAUGUUUGACUUAUUUUUCUUCUUUUUUCAGAAUUUUGGAAAGAUUUUUAACACUGGAAACUUAAACCCUAGAUUUUUAUGUUAAUUAAUUUUCGGUUGCUGCACAUUAUGUAAAUAUAGAAUGGUUAUAAACUUUAGAAAGAAUUUUUUUUGGAAAGAAUUUUUUCGAAGGAAACUUAAACCCUAAAUUUUCAUCUAUAAAUUCAUUAGUUUGAAUUAUUAACGAUGCAGCAGACGCAAGGUAACCUUCUUCUUCUUUUGUUGUCUUUCUUUUCUUUUGCAUUAACGCGGCAAUACCUUCUUCUUAUUUUUCUUCUUUUUUCCAGAUUUUUGGUUCUAGGUGCUUGGUCCAGAACCGCCGCUCGCCAGCCGCUGUGUUGCACUCGCCCACUCCUAUUCUCACUUCAACUGUAAGUUUUCCAAAUUCUCUCACCCUCCAUUUCAGUUAUGUCAACAGAUUGUUUGCUGGUGUUUCCACUUCAUAUUCCCUUUUCUUUAUGUUACCAAGUUGGAUGGGUUCAAAUCCUUUAUUGGCUCUGCUGUUAUAGCUACUGAAUUUAUCGAUAUUUCUGUUGGAGAUUAACUAAUUAGCUGCAUCAGUAAAUGGGCAUCUGUAUGGUGUAAGCUAAAAACUUUCGCUGCAUUAAUCACCACAAUUUUAAUCUAAUCCUUUAUUGUUGCAUUUGUGUUUUGAUUAUAAUUUAUGAAAUGACGGUGUAAGUUUGAAUCUCUUGAGGAUUACCAAGUGAAGAUGGAAUGAAUGUGUUUGAUCCCCACCCUUUUUUUUAGUUUUCUAAUUAAUCUUAUCUUUUGGACUUUUGGUUGCUUACCUCAAUUCAAGAUGUGGGAAUGUUUCAUAUUCAUAUGCUUUUAUUUACAUUUCUGAGUUAAUUUACAGCCAACUAAAAGAAGUUGUUUUGUUAAGCAAUCGAAAGUAUUUGUUCUGAUCUUUACUGGGGUGGGAACAGGGGGGGUUUUAGAGCAUGUCGUUAAUAAUUGUAAUGAGUCUGGAACAGGCGUUUUGAAAUUAUAAGUGGACUUCAUGGUCUAUAUUUGUGCUGUAGAAACUAUAUUUGUUACAUGCUUCUCAGAAAUAUAGAUCCUUCAAACGAGCUUUGCAAUGGCACAAGGAUGAUAGUCACCAAACUUGGGAAGGUUAAUUACCAGUGUAAUCCUCAAUAAUCCAAUUAUGACAUGACGUUUUUGGCUAUUGUGGGAGCCUCUCUCUAGGUCAACACCCAGUACAACUACGAGAGAUCAACGAGUGGAUGGAUCCCCGUUAAUCUAGACCACGAUCUAUUAGGCCUCAAGCUCAUCGAUGGGUGGGGUCCAAAACAUCUAGGACAAACAAAGACUAAGGUCAUGCCCAAACAUUAAUUGCCAAGAUCCAAGUCUCACGAACUCCGACUAGGGAUUAGGCACGAGACAUAACGCGUGCGGGGUUUCAUAGCUCAUCACUUAUUCAAUUGUUACAUGUAUUAAUGUAAUAAUUUAUAUAGUACUCCUUCCGUCCUAAACGAAAUGUCCUGUUUUUCUUUUUGGGUUGUCCCAAACGAAAUGUCCUGUUUUCUUUUUUGGCAAUAGAUACACUCUCUCUCUAUACUUAAUAUUUAAAUAAUUUCCACCAACCCACUUUAUCUAAUUUAUAUACAUUUCUUAAUCUUCGUGCCGAAAAGAAAUAGGACAUUUCGUUUGGGACGGAGGGAGUACAUGAUUAAUUAAUGCUAAUUAAUCGAUGUUUAAUAAACAUGAACUAAUCUUUAAUGUUUAUCACUUUAUCCCACGACUCUAUAUUUUAACUAAUUAAUUUUAAUUAAUUAUAUCUAACUCACCAGAAAUCGAUUUUAAAACUAAUCAAAUGUCUUAUUAGUCGAAAUAAUUGACCCAACAUUAAUCUUCUCAAAAGUAAUUUUCCAACAUAUAGAUUAAAAAAUAAAUAAAUUGAUUAUUUUAGUUUUUUAUGGUUAUUUUGAAAAUAAGAAAAAUAUUUGAAAAUGUUGAAAAAGUAAGGGUUAAUUGCCCUUAAAUACAGCACAUUUUCUUGAAUUCUACAAUUACACAUCACCUUUAAAAUCCGCCCCUAAAUACACCACUUUUUCUUGAAUUCUACAAUUGCAUAUCACCUUUAAAUCCGCCCCAAAAUACAUCACCUUUAUAUUUUUUCUGUUUUUGCACAUGACUAAAAAAUCCUCAAGAAAUAAAUUAAAGUGUUAAUUUAUAAAUUUAAAUAUCUUUUUAGCAGCGAAAAUAUAAUAAAAUAAAAUUCUUUAUUUAUUUUUAUAAAGAACUUUAUUUUAUUAUAUUUCCGCUUUAAAUUUAUAUUUAACACUUUAGUUAGAUUAGGGUGUUACCACUUUAAAUGACGUGGCUUCCAUAUUGGCAAAAUUGUGUCGUUUUGAAUGUUAUGAUCAGAUUGUUUGCUGGUGUUUCCACUUCAUAUUCCCUUUUCUUUAUGUUACCAUGUUGGAUGGGUUCAAAUCCUUUAUUGGCUCUGCUGUUAUAGCUACUGAAUUUAUCGAUAUUUCUGUUGGAGAUUAACUAAUUAGCUGCAUCAG
rnacentral:lncRNA from 1 species